CCCUGGUUAGCUCAGUUGGUAGAGCGCUCCACUUCUAAUGGAGAGGUCCCGGGUUCGAUACCCGGACCAGGCG
rnacentral:tRNA from 2 species